GAUGAACGCUGGCGGCGUGCCUAAUACAUGCAAGUCGAGCGAACGGACGAGAAGCUUGCUUCUCUGAUGUUAGCGGCGGACGGGUGAGUAACACGUGGAUAACCUACCUAUAAGACUGGGAUAACUUCGGGAAACCGGAGCUAAUACCGGAUAAUAUUUUGAACCGCAUGGUUCAAAAGUGAAAGACGGUCUUGCUGUCACUUAUAGAUGGAUCCGCGCUGCAUUAGCUAGUUGGUAAGGUAACGGCUUACCAAGGCAACGAUGCAUAGCCGACCUGAGAGGGUGAUCGGCCACCCUGAAACUGAGACACGGUCCAGAUUCCUACGGGAGGCAGCAGUAGGGAAUCUUCCGCAAUGGGCGAAAGCCUGACGGAGCAACGCCGCGUGAGUGAUGAAGGUCUUCGGAUCGUUAAACUCUGUUAUUAGGGAAGAACAUAUGUGUAAGUAACUGUGCACAUCUUGACGGUACCUAACCAGAAAGCCCCGGCUAACUACGU
rnacentral:rRNA from 1 species